GUUCGGAAAGGAAGUAAAGCAAGAAGCCUAACCCUUGAAGAAGCAACAGAUACAACACUUUUCUGUAGCUCCAUUGUCCAUGAUCUGGCCUACCGGGCUGCAACUAUAGCCAUUGAAAAAGAAGACUCGGUCUGCCUGGAAGGUUCUUGGCCAACAGUUACAGUUCUGGGAAAGUCCACUGCAGAUAGAAAGGAUUCACGCAGCAGAACUACGGGAAAACGUACAUCAAAAUCCCUGAAAGUCAGACGGAAACGGAUGGAAUUGGAUGUAAAAUCCCCUUCUACCAAGACCGAGAAUGAUGAAAAUGCCAAUGAAUCUAUGGUACGUAAUGUUGGCCUUUCUAAUAACACGGAUAGUAUAAAGCCUCCGAAGCUGGAAUCCAAGUGCAAUUGCACAAUAAUGUAAAAGUCUUUCAUUCACACCGUGCCAAUGGUGCCCACCACGAAAUUCUGCUAC
rnacentral:misc_RNA from 1 species